GAUUGCAUGAAGCAAGAAUGUUGAUGAAUUAAUUGGUACCUUUUGCAGUAAGCAAAUCCAGAAAAGUAUCUAAUGGUGAUAAACGAUCUGCAGAAGGAAAUGCUGCCAAACCUAGAACAAUUUACAGCUCGACUCUGGGAUACUUCACCGCACAAAAUAUUAGCGGCAUGUUCUCUGGCUCGCAGCAUCAAGCUAACUGGAUGCAGCCAUUGAUUCAAGAGUCUUUUUGCACGAGAUCUCGGCAAGAAAGACAACAACUUCAACUUCUGUACGACAUUUUCUUUUGUAUCGCUUAUAUCUAAACAAAAAAUCAUCAGUUUACAGCAAAAUGUCUGUGAGAUACAUACCGGCUAGAAUAAUCUUGGUAACGUCAACUUGGAGUUCAAACACUGAACGUUCGACAUAUUGCAGAAACAUCGAGUAUUUAAGAGUGCGGUAACCGAGAUAAGUAAAAAACGAUGCGAAUCCCUGUGGC